CUCGGGUUUGUCACUGGCUGUGCCUGCUUUAAUGCAGAGAAGAAAACAAUGACUCCCCUUGGAUGGAUUUCACUGUAACCACUUGGUUUGAAAGGGUGCAACCCGAUAUCACAGACAAGCAGCGGUCGGAUCAUUUGAAAAGAUGGGGGUCCUUUUUCCACAAAGGUGUCUGUCUAAUUAUCAACAGCAGGUAAAUGGACUCAUGUUAACUAUCAGAGAGGAGUCUGGGUAGCUCAUACCUACAUAUAUUUGACCUGCAAGAGCGUCGAAUGUCAGAUGUGGUUCACUUUCGUGUGAAUUGCUCCGACGCACUUUAAUGGCCAGCUCGAGUCAGCCUCGCUCAAACUUUCUUCGGUCGCUUGGUUUGGUUUGCAGCCCCAGCGGUGUAGCGAGAGGGAAUGAAUGACGUCUUCUUCCAGGAGCUCCGCCAGAGCGCGAGAAGCGGCGACUCCAGAUCGAUCCUCAGAUGGGGUGUCUGGUUCCAGUUACACGCCGCUGAAUGCCCCUGUUCCCUGCAGACGGAGGCUGUGUGAAUGUGGCUGGGGGUUUCGGAGAGCUGGGGGGACAAGCCACAGCUCCCCCUGUAACGUGCAGUAAUGUGUGGAGAGGACAUUAGAGGAACCACAUUACAGCCCGCCCUCAUUACUCAGGCCCUGAGGUUCACAGUGGACCAUCAGUCCUCUGACUUUUCCUCCUUAGUCCUAGCAGGAAAAAUGUUAAAGUGUUUUAAAUUUUUUAAAAUAUAAUACAAGUGUCCUUGGAGGAAAAAAAAUGUGAAAUUAUCUUUAUUUAAGAAUUGUAGUGAAAUAAAAAUUUAAAAAAUACAUAAGAGAGUCCUAUAUCCAUAAUGGAAAAUGACACAACUUUGAAAUAUAUCUGUUCAUCAUUUAGAUGCAUUUCAAAAGAUGUUUGUUCCACCAGCGUGAUGAAAUAAAUAAAAGGAAAUGUGUGCAGGGUCUGAUGAUCAUUUGAAGACGUAACAGAGCUGCCCUUUUAGCUGCCUGAUAGGCUAGCACCAGUCUUUUAAAUUGGUGCAAGCUGAUAUCGAGCGGCAGCAUUCUGGAUGAGCUGCAGAGGUCUACCGGAGGGUAAUACAACAAACUCGUUAUUUAUAUAAUAUUACUAAUGCAAAUUUUAAUAUUAAUUAGAAUUUUUUAUAUUAGCAUUCGCUACUUGUCUUAGGGGUAUGCAUAAAAAAUAACAUAGUAAUAGCAAGAAGAUGAGGUAAAUAUCAUUUUAUGUAAAUAAUAAAUAAUGUGUAAUUAUGACAGUUUGCACUGCACUUUCAUUGCUCUGGUUUUGUACUUUUAUUUCUCUCCAAACAGGACCAACAUGGCAGCCGUCCAUGUCUUCCUCCUCUGGGGGGGUAGCUUGCCUUUUCUUCAGUGGACGUUCUGAUGCAAGUGAUGCCCACAUACACCCCCAAAUCCAGCACCCCAGGACUGGGGGACGAGGGGAGGGGUCAGGAUUAGUCCAUUUUGCUUGAGCAAGCAGAAUGAGGCCCGUGGUACUGAACGUGUGGCGGGGGCCAUUGUGUCUCUUGUAUUUUAAAACGAUUAGCAGAGAUUAAAGUGUCCACAGGACCCGGGGCAACAAGAAAGAACACUUGCCCCCACCCCACCCCAGUCCACCCCCCCUCCACUACAGAAGGGGCCAAGCCAACUCUAUACUCCACUCAGAUUUAGAAUCAAUAAUACUGCCCCCCUCCUCUCCCCUCACCUCCCAUAAUUCACCCCUGAGAGCCUUCACAGUACACAGUGUUGGACUUGGAUUCAGUCCUGGGGUCUCGUUUAUAAAAACGAUCUUGGAUUUAAACUUAAAUGUAUUUCCCAAACUGUGUUUAUGCCUGAUUUAUAAAAAAAAUAACUGAGAUAGAGGAAAGUUGUAAGUGAGGCCUGUGGACACACAUUUCUGCUCGUUGUGAUGUGCCGGAGUUGGGUUGUGUACCAUACAGGCCGGGAGUAAAUUUGUAGGCAUCACAGGACAAGUUUUCGGGGUGAUAUUCCCAGGCCUGGGAA